UUCCUGGAGUACCGUCAGGCCCGACAAGUCGGGACGGUUCUUCCUCCAGAAAAGCAGUUUACAACCCAUAGGGCCGUCAAUCCUGCACGCGGCAUGGCUGGUUCAGGCUCUCACCCAUUGACCAAUAUUCCUC
rnacentral:rRNA from 1 species